AUGAUGAUUUAGAUUUUUUGUGUUUAUGGUUAAUACCGAAACAACAAUGUGGAUAUUAUUCUAGGGCGGUCUGAUUUU